CCUACGGGGGGCAGCAGUGGGGAAUAUUGGACAAUGGGCGAAAGCCUGAUCCAGCCAUGCCGCGUGUGUGAAGAAGGCCUUCGGGUUGUAAAGCACUUUCAGUGGGGAAGAAAGCCUUGGGGCUAAUACCCUCGAGGAAGGACAUCACCCACAGAAGAAGCACCGGCUAACUCCGUGCCAGCAGCCGCGGUAAUACGGAGGGUGCGAGCGUUAAUCGGAAUUACUGGGCGUAAAGCGCGCGUAGGCGGUCUGAUAAGCCGGUUGUGAAAGCCCCGGGCUCAACCUGGGAACGGCAUCCGGAACUGUCAGGCUAGAGUGCAGGAGAGGAAGGUAGAAUUCCCGGUGUAGCGGUGAAAUGCGUAGAGAUCGGGAGGAAUACCAGUGGCGAAGGCGGCCUUCUGGACUGACACUGACGCUGAGGGGCGAAAGCGUGGGUAGCAAACAGGAUUAGAUACCCCAGUAGUC
rnacentral:rRNA from 1 species